UACGUAGGGGGCAAGCGUUGUCCGGAUUUAUUGGGCGUAAAGAGCGUGUAGGCGGCCGUACAGGUCAGCUGUGAAAACUCGAGGCUCAACCUCGAGACGUCGGUUGAAACCGUACGGCUAGAGUCCGGAAGAGGAGAGUGGAAUUCCCGGUGUAGCGGUGAAAUGCGCAGAUAUCGGGAAGAACACCCGUGGCGAAGGCAGCUCGCUGGGACGUGACUGACGCUGAGACGCGAAAGCGUGGGGAGCAAACAGG
rnacentral:rRNA from 1 species